rnacentral:sRNA from 2 species
AUAUCUCUCUGUACGGGAAGGAUGAGAAGCUUCUACCAGGGUUCGAUUCGAGCGCAGCGAGAAAGCGUUGCCGCAGGCAACGACCCGAAGGGCGAAGCGCGCAGCGCUGAGUC